rnacentral:tRNA from 1 species
AAAAUUUUAGGUUAAUAAAACUAUAAACCUUCAAAGUUUAAAAUAUAAAUAAAUUUAUAGAUUUUA